UUGGACUGUCGAGUGGUUUAGGUAGUUUCAUGUUGUUGGGAUUGCAUUUCUAGCUCUGCAACACGGAACUGUCUUUAUUGCCACAGUUAAA
rnacentral:pre_miRNA from 1 species